AGUUUGAUCCUGGCUCAGAUUGAACGCUGGCGGGAUGCUUUACACAUGCAAGUCGAACGGCAGCACGGACUUCGGUCUGGUGGCGAGUGGCGAACGGUGAGUAAUGUAUCGAACGCGCCUAGUAGCGGGGAUACUACAAAGCGUGUUUAAUACCGCAUACCACCCUUCGGGGGAAAGCGGGGACCUGGGCCUCGCACUAUUAGAGCGCCUGAUAUCGGAUUAGCUAGUUGGUGGGGUAACGGCUCAACAAGGCGACGAUCCAGCUGGUUUGAGGACGACCAGCCACACUGGGACUGAGACACGGCCCAGACUCCUACGGGAGGCAGCAGUGGGGAAUUUUGGACAAUGGGGGGAAACCCUGGAUCCAGCCAUCCCGCGUGUGCGAUGAAGGCCUUCGGGUUGUAAAGCACUUGGCAGGAAAGAAACGGCACGGAUACCCCGUGCAACUGACGGUACCUGCAGAAUAAGCACUGGCUAACUACGCCAGCAGCCGCGGUACGGUGGUGUGUUAAUCGGAAUGAUUGGGCGUAAAGCGUGCGCAGGCGGUUCGAAAAGAAAGAUGUGAAAUCCCAGAGCUUAACUCUUUGGAACUGCAUUUUUAACUACCGAGCUAGAGUGUCAGAGGGAGGUGGAAUUCGCGUGUAGCAGUGAAAUGCGUAGAUAUGCGAGAACAACGAUGGAAGCAGCUCUCUGGGAUAAUAAUUGACGCCUGCGCACGAAAGCGUGGGGAGCAACAGGAUUAGAUACCCUGUAGUCCACGCCUAAACGAUAACAACUAGCUGUUGGGGGCCUUCGGCUCUGGUAGCGCAGCUAACGCGUGGAGUUGACCGCCUGGGAGUACGGUCGCAAGAUUAAAACUCAAAGGAAUUGACGGGGACCCGCACAAGCGGUGGAUGUGAUGUGGACAAUUGAUGCAACGCGAAAAACCUUACCUACCCUUGACAUGUCUGGAAUCCCGAAGAGAUUUGGGAGUGCUCGCAAGAGAACCGGAACACAGGUGCUGCAUGGCUGUCGUCAGCUCGUGUCGUGAGAUGUUGGGUUAAGUCCCGCAACGAGCGCAACCCUUGUCAUUAGUUGCUACGAAAGGGCACUCUAAUGAGACUGCCGGUGACAAACCGGAGGAAGGUGGGGAUGACGUCGUCCUCAUGGCCCUUAUGGGUAGGGCUUCACACGUCAUACAAUGGUCGGGAUGGAGGGUCGCUAACCCAUGAGGGGGGCAUAAUCCCAGAAACCUGAUCGUAGUCCGGAUCGCAGUUCGCAACUCGACUGCGUACGGACCAGUAAUCGCGGAUCAGCAUGUCGCGGUGAAUACGUUCCCGGGUCUUGUACACGCCGCCCGUCACACCAUGGAGUGGUUUUACCAGAAGCAGUUAUAAUAAUCAAGGGGAGGGCGAUUACCACGGUAGGAUUCAUGACUGGGGUGAAGUCGUAACAAGGUA
rnacentral:rRNA from 1 species